UACGGAGGAUCCAAGCGUUAUCCGGAUUUAUUGGGUUUAAAGGGUGCGUAGGCGGCUUAUUAAGUCAGGGGUGAAAGACGGUGGCUCAACCAUCGCAGUGCCCUUGAUACUGAUGAGCUUGAAUACACUAGAGGUAGGCGGAAUGUGACAAGUAGCGGUGAAAUGCAUAGAUAUGUCACAGAACACCGAUUGCGAAGGCAGCUUACUAUGGUGUGAUUGACGCUGAGGCACGAAAGCGUGGGGAGCAAACGGG
rnacentral:rRNA from 1 species